UUAACUCAAAUUUGUAUGGAAUUGGAACGUUUGCCUACGUUUGCCGCUAGAGGCGCUGUUCCAACUGCAUACAAAUUUUAGUUA
rnacentral:pre_miRNA from 1 species